GCCCCAUCCGCGGGGGCGGAGCCUAGGCAGCCGGGGCUCUACAGGCUCCGGAAGAGCUGAGCGCCAGAUGCGCUGUGCGCAGGCGCCCGGGAGGGACGCGGCGAUUUGUGUGGUUCGCACGCGCGGGCGGGGUGAGAAAGACCAGACGCUGGCAAUUGUCUUGGCAGCUUCUCGGCCGCUGGGACACCAUCCUGAGGAAUUUAGUGGUAGCGUGGCACUGGCACACGUCGGUCUCACGGGGAUCUGUACUUACUGCGGUGGUUUCCUGAUCUCAGCUGGGCAGGCAGAGGCGCCGAUUUGCACCUGAAAUUCCCACCAGACCGGAUGACAGUGGCGAGCCGUGAGCCUCCCCCGCGGAUGCCAGCUCGGCCACGGAGUUUGAGGGCCUGAGCGGGUCCUGCUCGCUCUCGCUUCCGCUGCCUGGCGAGGCUCGGGGAGAAGGUUGCGCUUCCUAGCCGGACUGGACGCAGUCACACCGCUGUCGCUGCUCGCUACCUCACGUGGAGGGUUUGGGCUCCGCGGAUCAAGCAAGCCUGCCCUUGCCCUGCGCAGGAGGCCACGUUCGUAAUUGCGGUCCUGCCUCUAGUUUCCAUCCCGCCCUUUACAGCUGCAGAACAUUUGGGUAGCCACGUUGAAGACUGCAGAGUAGCUUUGAAACCACUGUGAUUUAUUUUUAAUGUAAAUUAUUGACAAAUUUCAGUUACCAGGGCACCACAUUACAGUGCUUAAGAUGUACCCCAAACCAGUCCGUACGCACACUGUGUACCAGUAGACCUGCGGUAUAUCCUGUGAGCUAUGAGGCUUCCAUCAAGGAAUUAAAGUACUUAAAUAUGGUUCUGGGGAAAAUGUUCUUUCAUGUCUUUCAGAAUCUCUGGCAAAGCACUUAAUGGGGCACUCAAAAUGUAUUACCAGACAAGUGAAUCCGCAGGUGCUUUGAAGGAUUUGGAAAGGAAUCUGUCCACUUAAGCCUACAAGGGUUGCAUUUUCUAUUGCGCUCUUGAAAAUUAAAUGUCUAUAAAUGAAAGAAGAUAAAUUUGAUGACAUCAGAUGAUAGAACAGUGUAGAAAAGAGAAAAAAGAUGAACAAGUCUGACAUCUGAAAAGCAGGAACUAUAAGAAAAUAGAAUCAGGAUAUAGCUGUGCACACCUGUAAUCUAGCACUCUUUCGGGGCUGAGGCAGGAGGAUCCCAAGUUUGAGCCCAGUCUGGGCAAUUUAGCAGCAUUAGAGACAUUAUCUCAAAAAACAGCAGGGCUAGGAUGUAGCUUAGUGUAAAGGCACUGGAUUCAAUCCCCAGUACUGAAAAAAAGAAAAUGAAGAGCAAGAAAUUAAUAAUUCCAAAAAAAUAUCCCAUAUUUAGAAAACAUGUUCUUAAUGUUUGGGAAAGCCCAACAAGUGCUGAGGCCAUAGCACAACA
rnacentral:lncRNA from 1 species